GAUGAACGCUAGCGGCAGGCCUAACACAUGCAAGUCGAGGGGCAGCACAGAAACAGCAAUGUUUUGGUGGCGACCGGCGGACGGGUGCGUAACGCGUAUGCAACCUACCUUUAACAGGGGGAUAACGGAGAGAAAUUUCCACUAAUACCCCAUAACAUCGAUCAAGGCAUCUUGAUUGGUUGAAAACUCCGGUGGUUAAAGAUGGGCAUGCGUUGUAUUAGGUAGUUGGUGAGGUAAUGGCUCACCAAGCCUACGAUACAUAGGGGGACUGAGAGGGUAGCCCACCACACUGGUACUGAGACACGGACCGGACUCCUACGGGAGGCAGCAGUGAGGAAUAUUGGUCAAUGGGGGCAACCCUGAACCAGCCAUGCCGCGUGCAGGAAGACGGUUCUAUGAGUUGUAAACUGCUUUUAAACAGGGAUAAAGCACAGUAUGUAUACUGUGUUGAAGGUACUGUAAGAAUAAGGAUCGGCUAACUCCGUGCCAGCCGCCGCGGUAA
rnacentral:rRNA from 1 species